rnacentral:rRNA from 1 species
UGCAGUCGAACGAUGAAGCUGGAGCUUGCUCCGGCCGAUUAGUGGCGAACGGGUGAGUAACACGUGAGCAAUCUGCCCUUGACUCUGGGAUAACUGCGGGAAACUGUAGCUAAUACCGGAUACUUUCCUCGCUGGGCAUCCAGCGGGGAAGAAAGAAUUUCGGUCAAGGAUGAGCUCGCGGCCUAUCAGCUAGUUGGUGAGGUAAAGGCUCACCAAGGCGACGACGGGUAGCCGGCCUGAGAGGGUGACCGGCCACACUGGAACUGAGACACGGUCCAGACUCCUACGGGAGGCAGCAGUGGGGAAUAUUGCACAAUGGGCGAAAGCCUGAUGCAGCAACGCCGCGUGAGGGAUGAAGGCCUUCGGGUUGUAAACCUCUUUUAGCAGGGAAGAAGCGAAAGUGACGGUACCUGCAGAAAAAGCACCGGCUAACUACGUGCCAGCAGCCGCGGUAAUACGUAGGGUGCAAGCGUUGUCCGG